rnacentral:lncRNA from 10 species
GGAGCCCUUAGACUACCAUGUGAGAAAGGCUGUACUAGUCUGCAGGAGAGACCAUGAGGAAAACCGAGGUGCACUGGCCAAUAACCUGCCAACUGCCAGGUGUGUGAGUGAAGCUAUCUUAGAAGAGCUGUGAGCUGCCUGAAGGCACAUUUGAGAGCCCAGUAAAACUGGAUGACUAGUUUUCUGGAUUUGCACCCUGAGUU